rnacentral:rRNA from 1 species
CGCGUGUACUGGUCCGGCCGGGCCUUUCCUUCUGGAGAGCCCCAUGCCCUUCACUGGGCGUGCGGGGGAACCAGGACUUUUACUUUGAAAAAAUUAGAGUGUUCAAAGCAGGCCUUUGCUCGAAUACGUUAGCAUGGAAUAAUAGAAUAGGACGUGCGGUCCUAUUUUGUUGGUUUCUAGGACCGCCGUAAUGAUUAAUAGGGAUAGUCGGGGGCAUCAGUAUUCAAUUGUCAGAGGUGAAAUUCUUGGAUUUAUUGAAGACUAACUACUGCGAAAGCAUUUGCCAAGGAUGUUUUCAUUAAUCAGUGAACGAAAGUUAGGGGAUCGAAGACGAUCAGAUACCGUCGUAGUCUUAACCGUAAACUAUGCCGACUAGGGAUCGGGCGAUGUUUCUAUCUUGACUCGCUCGGCACCUUACGAGAAAUCAAAGUUUUUGGGUUCUGGGGGGAGUAUGGUCGCAAGGCUGAAACUUCAAGAAAUUGACGGAAGGGCACCACCAGGCAUGGAGCCUGCGGCUUAAUUUGACUCAACACGGGGAAACUCACCAGGUCCAGAUGAAAUAAGGAUUGACAGAUUGAGAGCUCUUUCUUGAUUUUUCAGGUGGUGGUGCAUGGCCGUUCUUAGUUGGUGGAGUGAUUUGUCUGCUUAAUUGCGAUAACGAACGAGACCUUAACCUGCUAAAUAGCCAGGCUAGCUUUGGCUGGUCGCCGGCUUCUUAGAGGGACUAUCGG